rnacentral:rRNA from 1 species
AUUGAACGCUGGCGGCAUGCUUUACACAUGCAAGUCGAACGGUAACAGGGUGCUUGCACCGCUGACGAGUGGCGAACGGGUGCGUAAUGCGUCGGAACGUGCCGAGUAGUGGGGGAUAACGCAGCGAAAGUUGUGCUAAUACCGCAUACGUACUGAGGUAGAAAGUGGGGGACCUUCGGGCCUCACGCUAUUCGAGCGGCCGACGUCUGAUUAGCUAGUAGGUGAGGUAAAGGCUCACCUAGGCGACGAUCAGUAGCGGGUCUGAGAGGAUGAUCCGCCACACUGGGACUGAGACACGGCCCAGACUCCUACGGGAGGCAGCAGUGAGGAAUUUUGGACAAUGGGCGAAAGCCUGAUCCAGCCAUGCCGCGUGUCUGAAGAAGGCCUUCGGGUUGUAAAGGACUUUUGUCAGGGAGGAAAUCCCUAGUGCUAAUAACACUGGGGGAUGACAGUACCUGAGGAAUAAGCACCGGCUAACUACGUGCCAGCCGCCGCAGUAA